rnacentral:rRNA from 1 species
UGGGGGAUAUUGCACAAUGGGCGAAAGCCUGAUGCAGCGACGCCGCGUGGGGGAUGAAGGCCUUCGGGUUGUAAACUUCUUUUGCUCUGAACAAGGCAUGCCUUUGGGGUGUGUUGAGUGUAGGGGUUGAUUAGCGCCGGCUACCUACGUGCCAGCAGCCGCGGUAAUACGUAGGGCGCGAGCGUUGUCCGGAAUUAUUGGGCGUAAAGGGCUUGUAGGUGGCUGGUUGCGUCUGUCGUGAAAGCUCAUGGCUUAACUGUGGGUUUGCGGUGGGUACGGGCGGGCUUGAGUGCAGUAGGGGAGGCUGGAAUUCCUGGUGUAGCGGUGGAAUGCGCAGAUAUCAGGAGGAAUACCGGUGGCGAAGGCGGGUCUCUGGGCUGUUACUGACGCUGAGGAGCGAAAGCGUGGGGAGCGAACAGG